CACGUAGGGGGCGAGCGUUGUCCGGAUUUAUUGGGCGUAAAGAGCUCGUAGGCGGUUUGGCAAGUCGGGUGUGAAAUUUCGAGGCUCAACCUCGAAACGCCACUCGAUACUGCCAUGACUGGAGUCCGGUAGAGGAGUGUGGAAUUCCUGGUGUAGCGGUGAAAUGCGCAGAUAUCAGGAGGAACACCAACGGCGAAGGCAGCACUCUGGGCCGGUACUGACGCUGAGGAGCGAAAGCGUGGGGAGCAAACAGG
rnacentral:rRNA from 1 species